rnacentral:sRNA from 1 species
GCCAGGUGUGAUGGCGCACUCCUGUAACCCCAGUGGCUUGGGAGGCUGAGGCAGGAGGAUCUCGAGUUCAAAGCCAGUCUCGGCAAGGACGAGGUCCUAAGCAACUCAGAGAGAUCCUGUCUCUA